rnacentral:rRNA from 1 species
UAGGGAAUCUUCCGCAAUGGACGCAAGUCUGACGGAGCAACGCCGCGUGAGUGAAGAAGGAUUUCGGUUCGUAAAACUCUUUUGUUAGAGAAGAACAGCGCAUAGAGUAACUGUUAUGCGUGUGACGGUAUCUAACCAGAAAGCCACGGCUAACUACGUGCCAGCAGCCGCGGUAAUACGUAGGUGGCAAGCGUUGUCCGGAUUUAUGGGGCGUAAAGCGAGCGCAGGCGGUCAAUUAAGUCUGAUGUGAAAGCCCCCGGCUCAACCGGGGAGGGUCAUUGGAAACUGGUUGACUUGAGUGCAGAAGAGGAGGGUGGAAUUCCAUGUGUAGCGGUGAAAUGCGUAGAUAUAUGGAGGAACACCAGUGGCGAAGGCGACUCGCUGGGCUGUAACUGACGCUGAGGUUCGAAAGCGUGGGUAGCAAACAGG